rnacentral:rRNA from 1 species
AACGUAGGGGGCAAGCGUUGUCCGGAUUUAUUGGGCGUAAAGAGCGUGUAGGCGGCCAGGUAGGUCAGCUGUGAAAACUCGAGGCUCAACCUCGAGACGUCGGUUGAAACCACCUGGCUAGAGUCCGGAAGAGGAGAGUGGAAUUCCUGGUGUAGCGGUGAAAUGCGCAGAUAUCAGGAAGAACACCCGUGGCGAAGGCGGCUCUCUGGGACGGUACUGACGCUGAGACGCGAAAGCGUGGGGAGCGAACAGG